CUACUACUACUACUACUACUACUACUACUACUACUACUACUACUACUACUACUACUACCACCACCACCACCACCACUACUACUACUACUACUACCACCACUACUACUACUACUUCUACUACUACUACUACUACUACUACUACUACUACUACCACCACUACUACUACUACUACUACUACUACUACUACUACAACUACUACUAUUACUACCACUACUACUAUUACUACCACUACUACUACUACUACUACUACUACUACUACUACUACAACUACCACAACACUACCACUACCACCCAACCUAUUCAGCCUAUUCAACUACAACACUCAAAUAAAAUAUAUUCUCAGGUAAACUAUAACUGUUUUUACCACAUUUUAUCCCAGACUUGAACGUAUGAAAUAUAGCUUACUUGUUUUGCAUAUGAAUUAUUCUUAGUAGUUCGAUCAAUAUGUACAAUUAUACUUUAUGGAUAAACUAUCUAAACAAUGAAAAAUAUGUAUGUAAUUCACUCUACAUCACAAUAUCUGGCUUUGGAAUCAAAUAUAUCUCUCUAUAGCAGCCAAGGCAAUACGUAUGUAUACAUUAUGUUCAUAUAUAGUGAGUAACAAGGUCAUAUUAAGGACAUAGACACUGUAACAUAUAGCCAUGCAGUAAAAAAUGGAGGAUGAGUAGGAGUGGGAGGAGGAAGAGGUGGAGGAGUUGGAGAGGGAGGAGGAGGUGGAAGAGGUGGAGGAGUUGGAGGAAGAGGUGGAGGAGGAGCAUGAGAAGAGGUGGAGGAGGUAGAGGAAGAGGUGGAGGAGGAGCAUGAGAAGAGGUGGAGGAGGUAGAGGAAGAGGUGGAGGAGGAGCAUGAGAAGAGGUGGAGGAAGAGGUGGAGGAGGAGGAUGAGGAGAGGGAGGAAGAGGUGGUUGGAGCGGGAGGAGGAGGACGAGGAGUUGGAGAGGGAGGAGGAGGACGAGGCGAGGAGGUGGAGGAGGAGGACGGAGAGAUGGAAGAGAGGAGGAAGAGGAGGUGGUAGAGGAAGAGGUGGAGGAAGAGGUUGAGGAGAGGAGGAGGUUCCUUGGUAAUGGUAAAAAAAAACUUAGAACUGGGGAGGAAGGAUAUAGAAUGUGUCUGUCUGACCACUUCAGUCAACCCAGAAGAGUCCCACUGAGGCAAUACUGGGGUGACGAGGCUGUACCAGGGUGACGAGGCUGUACCGGGGUGACGAGGCUGUACUGGGGUGACGAGGCUGUACUGGGGUGACGAGGCUGUACUGGGGUGAUGAGGCUGUACUGGGGUGACAAGGCUGUACCGGGGUGACGAGGCUGUACUGGGCUGUACUGAGUGAGAAAGUUACAGACGCACAAAUAUAAUACCCCCUCUCAAAAAUGCAUGUCUUGGGGGUAUGCUAACCUCCCC
ensembl:lncRNA